rfam:Triticum aestivum genome assembly, contig: Triticum_aestivum_CS42_TGACv1_scaffold_705223_T_4BL-0.046217_4BS-0.027792
CUUAUACUCCCUCCGUCCCAGAAUUCUUGUCUUAUAUUUGUCUAGAUACGGAUGUAUCUAAUACUAAAAUGUAACUAGAUACAUCCAUAUUUAGACAAAUCUAAGACAAGAAUUUUGGGACAUGGGAGUAUUUA